GAUAUCCGGGCCUUCUACGUGAUCUUCAGCUGGGAAAACGGGGCGCAGAUCUACGAACUGGUGGCCCAGACCGUCUCCGAAAGGAAGAACUGGUGCAAAAUGAUCAGCGACACGGCUGGCGUCCUGAAGCUGCCCCACUCCGGCCGGACGAAGCCACGGCUCUCCGUCCCUAACCGGACCUCGCCCCCCAGCCCCAGCUACGACCCCGAGGGUCUCCUCUCCGGGACGGAGAACGGGGGGCCCUUGAAGGAAGAGGAGGGCCUUCCGCCCGAAGAGAGAGAGAAGGACGG